UGCGACCCCCCCACUUAUAAAUUAAAAACACUUUUAAAUAUAUUUAACACCUUUAUAAAUACUGGAGGCAAAGCGGGGUUUGGGGUUCAGGCUGAAGCUCGCAACUCCCCAUGUAAUAACCUCUCGACCCCCUGAGGCGUCCCGACCCCCUGUUUGAGAACCCUUGGCUGAGAGCAACUGGAAGAUCA